ACGAACGCUUGCGGCAUGCCUAACACAUGCCAGUCGAACGAGACCUUCGGGUCUAGUGGCGCACGGGUGCGUAACGCGUGGGAACCUGCCCUUAGGUUCGGAAUAACUCCCCGAAAGGGGUGCUAAUACCGGAUAAUGUCUUCGGACCAAAGAUUUAUCGCCUUUGGAUGGGCCCGCGUUGGAUUAGCUAGUUGGUAGGGUAAAAGCCUACCAAGGCGACGAUCCAUAGCUGGUCUGAGAGGAUGAUCAGCCACACUGGGACUGAGACACGGCCCAGACUCCUACGGGAGGCAGCAGUGGGGAAUAUUGGACAAUGGGCGAAAGCCUGAUCCAGCAAUGCCGCGUGAGUGAUGAAGGCCUUAGGGUUGUAAAGCUCUUUUACCCGGGAUGAUAAUGACAGUACCGGGAGAAUAAGCACCGGCUAACUCCGUG
rnacentral:rRNA from 1 species